AUAACAUUGAACUAACUCCCUGGGAACGAUUUUUUCCCCCUUUUCUUCAGUUAUCUGACCGAUGCGAGAGUCAUGCGAGUGUAUGACGCGGGCUUCUUCGACUACUCGCGUCUCUGAAACUGAUUCUCGUAAAUAGAAACGAUCGAUUGAUGGAUGUCUUGUCGUAAGCAUUGAGUUCAGUUUUCUAAAAUUCAAAAGCAGGUGAUUCCUUGGGACGAAACGUAAAAGUUCAGCUUGAAAUUACGAAUGAUGCAGAAGUAUACUGUGUUAAAUGCAAGAGGAGAAGUCUUAAAUUCCUGUCUUAAUUAAACUUUACGGUCUACUAUUUUCCACACGUGAUUCUUAUGUUUCAAUUUUCGUUGUUGUGUCGUCACAGUUGGUAAAAUUAUAGCAAAUUUCCUAUGUCAAUGUCUUCUGGAUAUACUUAGCCAAAAGUUAAAUAAACGUACUACGAUUUACAUGUGUAAAGUAUUCGAUUGUUUCAAUGAUUUGUUUGCGUUGUUAUAUAUUGAGUUGGCCGGAAAAGGAAGAAAGUGCACAAUUUCGUUAACAAUUGUUCGCCUGGCGUCGAUCUCAAAAUGAUAAAUCAGAAAAGGAACAUUUUGCUGUACCGUCUCUUGAAAAGAAGAAAAAGAAAAAAAAAAAAACACUGCGCAAGCUCAUGAGAAAUUAUCUGACAUGUAUGGUGAAGAAAUCUUCGAACCAUGACAGGUUGCAAAUCGUUCUUAAAACUUUUCUUUCUUCGUCGAAAGAGGUAAGAACGUUUUUUGAACAUUGAGUCGGUAAUUUGGCCAAAGAUGAUCGAAGAAAAUGGACAGUCUUGUCAAAAUUACGAUUUUCAUCGGUGACCGAAUCGGUGGAAGGAUCGAAAAUUUAUGCAGGAAUCUCGACCGCAUUCCGUCAACAUGGCGGCUGUGGAACGUGACCUAACGAAGCCUCGCCGUUGGAUUUGCUCCGACUUUUCUUGUCACAGAUGUUAAAUAAAUCUCAUAAUCCUCUUCUUUUUUAAUUGGCGCAGAAAAUAGAUUGUUGUAAUCAACAGAUUGGAUAUUUCGUAUUCAGACAUAUACAUAUAUACAGGGUGGUUUACAUUGAAAAACU